GGGUCAAGCAGGUGGGGGAAGAAAGAUGGAAGGGCUCCAAGACUACAAACCUAAAGCAGAAUUUGAAGCCAAGAGUUUGUGCUUGUAGAGAUUUGGAGAAUCACAUCACAUCAGAUACAGAUAAGUAUCUGCAAGUUGAGGCCUUAACAACAACAGAGGUAUAAGAAAUGAAGCCUUGCCUCUGUAAAAUAUAAAAAAAUGGAACUAAGGAAUACAGUAUUUUUAAUUUAAUAAGUUAAUAUAUUUUAUCAAGCAUCAUGGUCAUAUGAGAAGCAUUUACCAGAAUUAAAAUUCACAUAUACAAAAAAGGCCAUUUUUGGUCCCUUUUUUAUCCUAUUUUAGACAAAACUGUGAAACCAAGAAAACAAUGGAAAUAUACAAGUUUCAAAAGCUAUGUAAUAACCAAGUAUUUUAUAAAUGAAACAGACCUAUCAUCUACAUCUCUCAAAUGUACAUGAGACUUACUGAACUCUUAGAGUCAACCUAAAUAAAUCUUUGCUAGAUUUGAAUGAAAUAUACAUUUUUCAAUGACUGGUAGUCCAGGCUGAAAAAAGUUUGUCAUGGUUCAUUAGUUAAAACAUUUCAUACUAGAGAAAUAGUUUUAACAAAACUAGGGUAAUAUCAAGAGGAAAUGUACUGAAUUUAAAAACUUCUGAAGCAGGGAACUUUUGGACCACUAUAUAAAAUACCAAAAGGUUCAGACUACUGAAAAACAAGUGUACAGAGUAAAGGAGGUUAA